rnacentral:snRNA from 1 species
CUCUCAGCUUUGCCAACUGGCUUAGAUCAAGUGUAGUAUCUGUUCUUUUCAGUUUAAUCUCUGAAACGACACCACGUGUGUCUAACUUUGAUUAAAUUUAUUUUUGCACGUUGCUUGAGUCUCUCCGUGCUUGCAUGGAGCGUCUCAAGCACCGUGUCCGAGGCCUCACACUGCCGCCUUGUGAUGCGAAACAAU